rnacentral:rRNA from 1 species
UCUCCUUCAAAACAUGCAAUUUCUCUGGUUAAUUCCGAUGACGAACGAGACACUAGCCUAUUAAAUAGAUCCGUGGUUCUCUGCACCAUGCAUGCACCCUUUUUAGAGGUAAAAGCGGCUCCUUGCCGCAAGAAACAGAGUAAUAACAGGUCUGUGA